rnacentral:rRNA from 1 species
GACGUAGGGGGCCAGCGUUGUUCGGAAUUACUGGGCGUAAAGGGCGCGUAGGCGGCACAGCAAGUCGGGAGUGAAAGCCCGGGGCUCAACCCCGGAAUGGCUUUCGAAACUGCUGAGCUAGAGUACAGAAGGGGCAACCGGAAUUCCCAGUGUAGCGGUGAAAUGCGUAGAUAUUGGGAAGAACACCUGAGGCGAAGGCGGGUUGCUGGGCUGAUACUGACGCUGAGGCGCGAAAGCCAGGGGAGCAAACGGG